UGCAAAUAGGAGCAGAAGAACGGGGAAGUGUUUGCAUACACUGAGCUCAGCCGAAAGAUGAAGCAAGCGGCAGGAAGGACUGAAGCUGCUCAGAAUAACCCAGAAAGAAAAAUAUCAGGGAAAGGAUGCUGGGACAUAUUUGCAGCUGCGAACAGAUUACAACAGACGUCGUUAGCUUCAGGGCAGAAAUCUUAGUAACGAAGAUGCUAAUACCACAAGAAGAAAAAGCGGAAGGGCUGGUGCUCAUAUUACUCUCUCAUGGCUGCUCAUAGAGGAUAUUCUCAAAUUGCAAAAGAAAGAGGCUAUAGUUCUUGUACAUGAAGGUGCUCCCUGGCAAACCAAGAAGAAAAAGCAGUGGGAGGGGGACCGGUUCAGCUCAGCAAGCUAGAAGAAAAUCUGCUUUUGUGAUUUUUCUAAAGCAGAUACUGAGGGAAACACAACAAAGAUAUGUGAAAUAACACAAAAAUUAAUAUUUGUGAAUGCAUCUGUCUGUAUGAACAAACUGUGCAAAUACAAGAAAGCCCUCACAAUUAUACAAUAAUUUUCACAUUGCUCCAUUGCCCUACAGUAGGCAGCUCAGUAAAUCAGUUUUGAAAAACCUUAA